rnacentral:rRNA from 1 species
UACGUAGGGGCCGAGCGUUGUCCGGAGUUACUGGGCGUAAAGCGCGCGCAGGCGGCCGGCCAAGUCCGGCGUGAAAGCCCCCGGCUCAACCGGGGAGGGUCGCCGGAGACUGGCGGGCUUGAGGGCGGCAGGGGUCGGUGGAAUUCCCGGUGUAGUGGUGAAAUGCGUAGAGAUCGGGAGGAACACCCGUGGCGAAGGCGGCCGACUGGGCCGGCCCUGACGCUGAGGCGCGAAGGCGUGGGGAGCGAACGGG